GUUGGUGCAUUUCUUAAGCCGUUUGGUGCAUGGUAUACUCAUUACCUGUGUCACAUGUGUUUAUACCGCUGAAAAAUUCUCGCAACAAACCUACCGUUUAUAUCCCUGCCAUCUAUGGGAAGUUGAUAUUUUUAUGAACAUUUCUGAAUGACUACAUCCGCCUACGCUGUUUUUCAAAAGUAGGGGCCACAAUACUCAGCAAGUAUACGAAACAAAUCGCCACAACAUUUGCAGCUGUUAAGCAUAUUGCCCAAACAAUCUACCUGCAAUAAAUGUAAUUGCAAUUCAAUGAAUAUUUGAUUCAUUGAAUAACAUGUGUAAAUGAUAAAGUUUAUCUUCUAUGUGCUGUAUUAUAUUACUAUUCAUUGUCUAUCUAAUUACAUGAGGGCUACUCCAGUAUUUUACCUAAAAUGACUACUUACUAUAUUAUAUGAGAAAUUAUAGUUUUAAAUAUCGUGAAGUUCUACUGUCAAAUGCCAUAAUUUGGAAGAACAGAAAAAAACUCACCUCCAUUGAAUAGAAAGCCGAUUAUACAUGUAAAACAAAAUGCUUAAAUACAUUAACAAUGUAGCAUGCUAAAAGGAUUCUAUGGUUGUCCUAAAAAUAAUUUUGAUUAACUUUGAUAUUUAAAUUUAAUAUGUGCACGGUUUUAAAUAAAAGUUUUGAUUUAUUUAUAACCUAGGAAUGAUAAUUUGCAUGUAAAC
rnacentral:lncRNA from 1 species